rnacentral:lncRNA from 1 species
UUCAUAUAGAGAACUUGUUAGGAAUAAUUUGUUUGCGAUGCAUAUUCAUCCAAUUCAAUGAUUCUAGGGAAAUCUGAAAGUUAAUUUAAGCGGACCUAAUUAACUUGGAGUGUCGAGGUUCAUAACUUAAUGAAUUGAUAACUGGAAAUCGAUUACGUUGCAUAAAUUUCAUGUGUGGAGAAGAACCCCUUAGCCAUUCCAUCACCCAUUGAUUCAUCACAUUUAGUUCACAAUCUGUUUUAAUUUACAAUCUGUGCAUUUAGU